UACACGAGGGUGAAGCUGUGGAGGAGAGAGGGAUCUGAUUGAGAAGCCGAGGCAACACAUUCUCAGUCUGACCUCUUCAGAUAUCGAUGUUUGGUCAUGGACUGUCCACGCUGAGAUAUGACAUGCAAGGUACCGUAGGGAACCUGUCAAGAAAAAAUAAUAAAGGGACAAACUGAAUAAUUGAUGAAGAGUCCAGUGAUGCAGACUGUCAGCAGCAGCAGUCCUAUAACAACUCCAAUAACAGCAUCAGCAGGAAUCUGUGAGGGAGAAACUGGAACCACAACAGAACAUUCAAACUUUGUCUCAACCACUGGAUAAAAGUCAAUAUGUUUAGUUUACAAUGGCUUUGAUAAGGACAAUAUUAUCACAAUUGAGAAAAAUAAUGUACAAAACUAUGAAAAUAAGACACAACUGUU